GUGCUUGCUUCAGCAGCACAUAUACUAAAAUUGGAACAAUACAGUGAAGAUUAGCAUGGUCACUGUGCAAAGAUGACAUGCAAAUUUGUGAGACAUUCCAUAUUUGU